CUAGAAACCCCACAGGAGGGAAGGAUGGGGAGCGGGGUCUGGCUGGCACUCUUCCUUCCUCUUCCCCCUCACCUGCUGCUUUGCCCUGAAGCAGCAGGUGCCCUGCCCCCUGUCCUGUCCUUUUUGGGGCGCUAGGUGUCAGGUCAGAUGUCAUACUCCAUAUGCUGUUGUAAAGCAGCCAUCAAUGCCAUCAGUGAGUGGAACUUCGUUCCGGCUUUCAUGGGGGUCUCUGCGUGACGAAUCUUCUGGAUGUGGGCUGCCUACUCUCUGACGCCCUCAUAGGACCUUCCUUUUGAUCCUGUUCCUCAGGAUACUCCACAAGUGGCCAACAUGGUACCAUCAAGACAUCUUGAGCCUGGCUCCCUGCCACGGCAUAUGUGGCUCACAGGAGGUCUUGUUACAUCAGAAUGAGGUAGUGUGGGUUGCUCGCUGCCACCCUCUCCCCUCACCUUAGUGUAGAGGGCCGCCCUGGCCCACCUCCUGCCUCCAGAGUUUCUCCAGGUGAGAAGUGGACCGUCACAGGCAUAUGCGAAGCCUUGCUGAAACCCCUCUGUGGCUUCCUACGGCCAGCGCCUGUGACUCUCAUCUUGAGGGUUUUCUCUGGUGUUGAUAGUGUGGCUGCAUGUGUUAGGGGAGUUGACACCCUGGAGCAGCCCUCAACCGAAGAUGGACAGGAGUUGGUGGCUCCGUGACCAUGCCUCACUUCAGUUCCAUGUCCUUGGACUCGAAGGCGUUCCUCUUUGCACAUAGAAUCAGGGAGGAGGAGGCCCUGCGGCUGCUGGAACAAGGGAGUCGUACAGGAGGCACUGGAGAAAGUGAUGCAGCCAUUUCCCAGGGCUGCUCCUCAUUGUUCAUGUAAGAAAAGGAGCUGCAUAUACAGAUUAGCCUCGUCUGGAAAGGAGGCGGAAGGCCGCGAUGGAGCCCGGAGGAGGCCCAGCCUGGGGUCACUGCGCCCCAGCAGCUCAGAAGCCUGCAACAGGCCGGUGGCUUCACUGAAAGGGACCGUCAGGCGCCGUGGUGGGGCCAGAGCGGUCUGAGGGGGAUUUAGAGCAGCAGUGUCCAAAAAAACUUUACACAGAGAUGGACGUGAUCCAUCACACUGGCUGUCCGGUACAGGAGCCGCCAGCCACGAGUGACUUUUGAGCACUUAAAAUGUGGCUACUGUGACUGAGGAACUGAAAUUGUAAUUGUAUUUACUUUUAAUUAAUUUAAAUUUAAAUUCAAACAGCCACAUGUGGCUAGUUGCCCCAUACUGGACAGGAGAGAGGCAGAGCAUGUUCCAGACGGCGGGCUCUGGAAGAUAAGCCCCUGUGGGGUCUUGGCAGGUGACAUCAAAUUCAGUGAGGUUACUAGGCAAACAAGCAAAAAUCCUGUCUUGCAUUUUUCUUGCCACCUGCUGCCCUCUUGGCCCAUCUUUGGUUUUCCCGCUUUCGAGAAACAGCGGGGAAACGGUAGCCCUGGUUCCUGGGUGACCCCUCGGGGCUGUCCCAGGGACCCACAUU
rnacentral:lncRNA from 1 species